AACUAUAUACUCUUAUCUUGGGUUUCCCCAAAAAUUUAUCACAUAAAUUUAAGAGGAAAUUUCAAUAAUAUUAUUAACUCAGCAUUUUAUUCAUUAUACAAGAUUUAUUGUUUAGUCUCAUAAGCUAUUUGGAGGAGGAAGCUUCUGCUCUCUGUUCGAAGACGUGUUGAAUUUUCAUUUUUUGAAGCAGAUUUCACUAGUUUUCAUUUCAAGAAAGAGUUUAUAAAGUUGAAUGAAAGAGCAAUAAAGUUGAUAGGGAACUAUCAGAAUACGUUUCUUCCUCUCAAGAAAUAUUGUAUAGGAAAAUGGUGUUUAAUUCCUAUUUUCGAAGAAGUUUUUGUGGGUGUUCACUGAGGGCUGGUACUUUGUUUAUUGGAUGGCUGUAUUUUAUUCUAUGCUUCAUCCCGAGUGUAAUAUUCUUUACAAGUGCUAUCGUGGGUACUAUAGAAGUUCAUAAAUAUAUGGACUUGAGUUAUCAAGAUAAUUGGAGUGACGGAUCAUCUUCUGAAACUCGCGUGAAAAAUUAUGAGAAUCACAACCACCCAUGCGAUCAUACUGAGAAAAACUGUGACAAAUCUGCCGAAUUCCCAAAGGAACCUCCUCUGAUUUGAAAGACUCUUAUCAUUUUGAAGAUGAUGGAUCACCAAGAUUAUUGAGACUUCGUCGCGAUGAUGAUGAUGAUGAUGAUGAUCAUGAAGAUGAGUUUGCUGGUGUACAUGAUGAAGAAGAUGAUGGAGAAUAUCCUAAUGAUGAUCCUUCUACUUUCACCAGUUUAGACACGCAACCAAAAAGUAUUCUUGAAUACAUUAUUCACGGAGUGGUUUCAGCUUUUCAUGGAGGUUCUAUUCUCUACGAAGGGGUUCUGGGAUUAGUAUUUGGAUUAGGAGCAAAUUUCCAUUUGCUUCUGUUGAUUGGAGCCCAUUGUGAUGUAAGCAAGCCCAUUGCAAUCUGGUUAGCUGGACGAGCAAUAUUCCUAUUCGUUGACUUGGGUUUACUGGUAGCUUCAGUUUUCUACACAGGUGUUUUCCUUAUGAUUGCUCAGAUAUUCAGAUUCAGUUUCAACUUGUACAGUUUACUUGUUGUCAGAAGUCAUCUCCACUUCUUGAACCACAAUGUAAAAUUGAAAUCCACUGACGCUGUUGAAUUAGAUAUAUAGUGUAGUUUUAAAGUAUUGCUUCAAUGGAUCAACCGCUGGAUAUGAAAGAUAACAUGAAAUGUUUCAAUAUUAUUCAAUUGCCAGAGAAUACAAGAGAUUUUCUAAAAUAGUUGUACUAAUAAUAAUAGUUCUAAUAAAAGUUUUUUGAAAAGAA